GGUUAUGUUCUAUAAUUGAAGUAAUAGAGACCAUGAUGACAUUUGGCAAAAUAAAAUAUUCUGGCCAUUACAGAGACGAGUAGCAGUGCUUCAAGUUGCAAAACAAGCGACCAUGACAUACACCACAAAAAGAAAAGCAGAGUGCGAGACUCAAUAGUGAAUUGUAUAAAUGGUCAAAGCAUUUCAUUUUCUUUUGAUUGUUGUGGAAGCUCCUCCUUUGGAAGUCAUUACAGAAAACCUACUUCUGAACUCCCAAGGUCUGCAGGAAAAAAAAAACUUCCCUGGACGAUAAAACUAUGUUCCUCUCAAGGUGUAACAUAUUGACAACAAGACGGAGUACCCACUGGCUCCAACGCGCUUUUCGCCUGCAAGCUAUCUACAGCGCACGUGUAUAAAGGUCUCCAUUGUAUUCACAAAUCCAGCUUCUCAUGGAAAACGACACCAAAAAUAUGCCCUGCUACUUCCAUCUCAAAAUCUGUUGAGGUUUCGUAAUUGCACCAGGUUUUGCCAAUGACUUACAUUUGCAAUAGUGCUAAAAUCAAUACAUCGAGCAGGGUGGGAAUUAACUGGUGACAGGGCCAUAGGAGUUGAACUAGCGAAAUGAUGGGGCUCCAUUAGAAUCGAUGACGCACAGCUGGCCUAUGCCAAUUGCACAUAUAGAUUAAGUGUCCAGGCACGAAGAAAUGCCCAUAUCAAGGAUGUGUUAGCCCAAGUAUUCCACCAUUUGGAAUCUAAUUUUCACUUCAUUGACAGUUCUUUCGAGAGCUACCUCUCUAGAGAUAAACGCCCUUGGUCAAGAUUGUACGUUGUCUGCUCUUUUUGAGAAUUCAACUUUUCCUGUUAAAAAAUAUAUUAUUGCAUUAGAGAUCAUACCCACACACCAACAACAACAACAACAACCACCUAGUAUAAUCCCACUUAGUGGGGUCUGGGGAGGGUAGUAUGUACGCAGACCUUACCCUACCGUUGGGUAGAGAGACUGUUUCCAAAUAGACCCCCGGCAUCCUUCCCUCCAAGAACUUCCUGUUAGGAUUAUGAUUCCUACUAAAGACAACAACCUUCAUUUGAAUAAUCGGAUUUACNNNN
rnacentral:lncRNA from 1 species